ACAGAGACACACAGAGACAGACACACAGACACACACAGACACAGAGCUCGAGGUUGUGAGCAGAAAGGCCUGCCUGCAUCUCUGAGUCUUCAGCACAAGAAUGGAAAAGCCCUCGGGGCAGGAGCAAGCCGGGGCAGAGAGCAGGCAGGCCAGGGCCCUCCCAGAGGUCUGUGCCCGCAGGCUUGCCCACCCAGCGCCUAGCUGGGAAGGGCCCCAGCCAGUGUGCCCUCCUCCAUGGGAAGUGCGGCCACUUCCGGGCAGCGGCCGCCCCAGGGUAUUCAGGAACAUGGAGCCUCUGCUGGCUGCCAGCCUCUCCCAGCUCCAGGUGUCCCCAGCCCACACCUAAGAAGGCUGAGCGGAACUUGGGAGGGCCCCGCUCCAGAGGCCCAAGGGGAGAGGCCCCGGCUCCCCCUGCCUUGGGGACAGGUCACCCCGGGUCUCCAUGCCACGUGGGGCCCACCCUCCUCUACUGGGACCCGGCCCUGCCAGCAGCCCCUGAGCCUGAGGCUCGGCUCCACGGUGCCAGGUGAGAAGCUGCACCCACCCUUCACCGACUCGCCUCUAUUCUGGAAUGUAGCAAAUCUAAGUUGUUAAAUGAUUUAUUUUCCGCAAGCAUGCAUUUUCCCAGGGAAAAAUGCACCCCUCUCCGACCUUGUAGUUUGUCCUGAUUUGCUCUCAGGCAAAAACGUCUGCCCUUGGGGGGUGGGGCCCUGUAUCACCCACCCUAGAGGACGGGCCACCAAAGCUGGCUGGGUGGGCACCCUGGCACCAGGUGGAGUGGGGUGCCUCGCCCGGGGGAGGGGACCCUCACCGAGUCACACCAUCUGGUGGAAGAGCUCAGAGCGAAGCUUUCCCACUUCUGGUAACUGCCCUCUGCUCCGCGGCUCUCCUUUCACUAGUGAAACUGUUUCAUUUUGGACUUCCUCUUGGGAAUCAGAGUCCCAGCCGUGACAGCAGCCGGGACAGCAGCGUCUCUGUCAGAGCUUUAGGAUUCAUGGCCCGUCUUGCAGGCUUGGCAAGGAGCCUGGACAGAACAGGCCAGUGAGUGAAUCCACAGGGGCCCCUGUUCCUGGCCCACGCCAGACGGUGCCUGUGAUGAAAGCAUCUGGACUGGGGGGUGCCCUACCCCCACCGGGAGCCGUGGCUACGGACCACGUGGGAGCCACGCAGAUGCUGUGGCCUGAAUGCUUGUGGCCCCCAAAUUCCAGACCCCAAACGGACUAAGACACCGGGCCUGCCAGAGGCAUCAGCUCUCAGACCAGGCUGAAAAGAAACAGGGUAACUGAGGCCCAUGGAGGGUGUUUCCAGGCCUCGGGGCCCAGGUCGGCCCACAGGUGAGGUGCAGAAGGCCGGGCCCAGGGUGGGAGGGCAGCAGACCUCCGGGGGGCCCUGCUUCUCGGCAUCCCCCGGCACCCUGAUGUGGUAUGUGAGGGGCGGUCAGGAGCGCUUCCUUGGAGCCCGCGGCCUCGACGUGGCAGAUAGGGCCCAGAGCAUGACCCCGGGCUCCAGUGGGCACGUGGCAGGAGCUUCCUGUGCUCCCAGGCCCCUCCCCCCAGACACGGUCACACGGCCCCACAUGGCCCCCCCCCCCCCCCCCCCCCCCCCCCGCCGCGCCCCGGCCCCCAAGGGCCCCCCCCCCCCCCGAGCUCCUGGAACGUGGCCGACAGGAGCCAUACUCUGCGUGCAAAGGCCCAGCCUGAAGAGAAGAAUGUGCGGAAACGUGCUAAUAACUGACAUACGAUUCCACGGUGAAACGUAAUAUGUCAGAUAUGCUGGGUUGAAAUGAAAUAUAUUUUCAUGAUUAACUGCACCUGCGUCUGUCACCUCUUCAGAGGUGGCUACUGUACAUUCUCAACGACGCGAGCGUAGGGGCGGGCAGGCAGACAGACAAAGGCUGGGAGGGCGAGGGCAGGUCGGAGGAGGGUGUGGCGGGGACAACCGACCGUAGACCCGGGGCAGCAUUGGAAGGUUCUCUCCCUGGAGGUCGGCUCCCAGGACCCUGUGCUGCAGGGCGUCCUCGGGCAGCUUUGCGAAGGCCCAUCGCCCACAGUUGCCUGAAGCCCUGCACGGCCCCGGGUCUCGGCAGCGUCCUCGCUGCCCAGCUGGCCAGCCGCUCUCAUCGCGUGGGGAAGAGAGGCUGCUAUUCGGGGCGACCGGCCACCCCGGGCACCCAGCAGCGGAUGGGUCCCUCAAAGGAGGCUGUGGUCCAGGAGACUUGGGGCAGUCCUUACCAAUCGAGGGGCAGGCCGGGCGCCCAGGCCUGGGGACGCCAGAGGGACACUGGCCACACUCACCAGCCGCAGGACAGCAGACCCCGGGCAGCUGGGGUCGCUGGGCGUGGGUGCAGAGUCGGGGGCAUAUUCCUCUCCCCGAGGGUCUCGGGGGCCCCUCCCCAGCCCAGGAGCAGCCCGUGGGGCACGUGGGCACCCAGGAGGGGAGCUGGCUCCACCGUCUGCCUAGGCCGGGCCUGGGUCUCCCAGGCCAGAGAAGCUGCCCCUUGUCCCUGCCCCAGGGCUUGGAGCUCCAGCACCACCUUCACCCCCUGACCCCAACUCCCCCUUCAAGGCCACUCAGUGCCACUAAAUCGGGACGUCCACCAGCCGGGCAGCAGCUCAGGAGACCCGGGUUCAAGUCCCUGCUCGGAGCUCACUGUCACGCAGCCGAUGACAGGGGCUGGACGGCCCGUCUGUCCUCCGAUGCGGGGCUGGUGCCCGGAAGUGAGCCCCGCAUGGGCCAGACACGGGGGAAGCAGCUCAGGGAGCCCAUCCUGGCAGCUCCACCACGCAGCCUCUGCAUGAAUCGUCAGGAACCUGCCCCACCUCGGCCUCAGAGCCGCCCACCCCCCCCCCCCCCCCCCCCCCCAACCUCGGCCUCAGAGCCGCCCCCCCUACCCCCCCACCCCGCUCCUGGACAGGUGACCGUCAACGCAGGGCUGAGCUGGGAGGAGGAUGGCGUGGGCUCGGCUGGCCCCAGAGAGGGAGACCCCUGUGCACGGGGGUUGCCGGGAAGGCCAGCUCAGCCGUGCCUGGCCUGGGUGGGGUGACCGGCAAUGUGGUCAGGGGGGCUUGGCCACGGAGGGGUCCCAGGCACUCCCGAGGGGGAGGGAGGAAGCAGCGGGGGAGGAGCCGGGCUGCGCCCCUUCUCCAGGGCCUGCUGAGCCGCUCCCAGGCCCUGGAUGCCCGACUGGGGCUCAGUCGUGUCAGGGCCCGGUGCCGCUGUCUGGGCAGUGGGCGGCAGCAGCCUGGGAGGUGCCCACUGCCUGAGAAUGACCCCAAACAGGUCCCGUGUCCCUGACUCCUGGUCCCCUUCCCGCCCCCCCUCACCUGGGGGGGGUCCCUAAAUUCCUGCACUCUCCCCCUCCCCCACCCCUCCCCCCACCUUCUCCUUCUGAGCGGCCAGAUGGGCCAGAAGCCGCCUCCGGAGCUGUGAGCAGCCAGCUCUCUCCCUGGGCUGUUGCCCCAGCCAGGGCCCUCCCACCCUCCUGCCAGCAUCCCAGCCCGGGGCCUGCGGAGUGGCCCAGGGGGUGAGGCCCAAGGAGGGGAGAUGGAGGCGGCAGGAGUGGAGGCAGGCUAGCCUCAGUGGCCCCAGGGGCUGAGGCAGCAGCCUGGGUGGAUACCGACCGGCCACCAGCCGGCUUCCAGCCACGUCCUGCUGGGCCCCAGCUUGGCUUUAGCCCGCCCCGUGUGGACACAGAGGCUCGGUCAGGGCUCCGCAGACGGGUGUUUGACCUCCCUGCAAGAACGGGUAGGGGUCUGUUGGGGCAGGGGUGGUGGGCACAGGCAGGAAGCUGGGCUACAGGUGGGAGUAAGGCCAGUUCAGAGAAGUGAUUCCACGGGGCCACAGGCCCCACUGGCCGGAUAGUCCCCUGCAGGCCUCAAAGGGGACACUCAGGACCCGGGGCUGCCCUCUGGCCUGGGGGGUUGCCAGGCCCCUGAGGGCCCUGCGACACCCAAGGCAGAAGCAGCUCAGCACCCAGGGCAAUGGGAGUGGGUGGGGCCUGGGGGGGGCGUCCCUGCUGCUCCUGCCUCUUGGAUGGUGAAGCCCAGGGAUCUCACGUCAGAGAGGUGGCCCGGCCCCCUCCUGCCCCCCUGGGCCAGACAACAGACAGCUGUGCCCUGAGCAGCUGCUGCCCCAAACGUGGCAGUGGAAAGAAGACACAGGCCCUCUGCCAGGGGCUGGCGUCCCUCGAGCUGCCUCAGGCUGACGCCCCGUGACCUGGGGUUGCUGCUGGGACCUCUGGUGGCCAUAGUCCUGGAUCCCAGUAAGACUCAGGUAAAAUAACUUCAGGUGCAAGGCCCCUGGGGGCGGGGGUGGGAGGGAGGAAGCAGCUUCCUGCCUGUGCCCACCCUGCCCCAACAGACCCCUACUCGUUCUUGCAGGGAGGUCAGACACCUGUCUGCUGAGCCCUGACCGAGCCUCUGUGUCCACACGGGGAGGAGCUAAAGCCUUUGUGCCCUUGUGAAGAGAGGAGGGGGCUGA